AACGAACGCUGGCGGCAUGCCUAACACAUGCAAGUCGAACGAUCCCUUCGGGGAUAGUGGCGCACGGGUGCGUAACGCGUGGGAACCUGCCCUUAGGUUCGGAAUAACUCAGAGAAAUUUGAGCUAAUACCGGAUAAUGUCUUCGGACCAAAGAUUUAUCGCCUUUGGAUGGGCCCGCGUUGGAUUAGCUAGUUGGUGGGGUAGAGGCCUACCAAGGCGACGAUCCAUAGCUGGUCUGAGAGGAUGAUCAGCCACACUGGGACUGAGACACGGCCCAGACUCCUACGGGAGGCAGCAGUGGGGAAUAUUGGACAAUGGGCGAAAGCCUGAUCCAGCAAUGCCGCGUGAGUGAUGAAGGCCUUAGGGUUGUAAAGCUCUUUUACCCGGGAUGAUAAUGACAGUACCGGGAGAAUAAGCCCCGGCUAACUCCGUG
rnacentral:rRNA from 1 species